UCCGGUUUGUGGCCGACAGUUUCUUUAGAGUGCCGCCUUGCGGCAUGGCAACUAAAGAUAAGGGUUGCGCUCGUUGCGGGACUUAACCCAACAUCUCACGACACGAGCUGACGACAGCCAUGCAGCACCUAUACAGCGGCCCUUGCGGGCACCAGCCUUUCAGCCGACUUCCACUGCAUUUCGAGCCCAGGUAAGGUGGGGAUGACGUAAUCUACG
rnacentral:misc_RNA from 1 species